GUAUGGCUUAUACGGCGCUGUUUUGAGGCCACUGAAACAGGCCCUAAACGGUGCCGUUUCAUUUCUAUUAUAAAACCAACAUUUAAAAAAAAAUCUUCACUUUCUGCCAUGUUAACAACAAAAAAAAAACUAAUGAACCCUAGCCUACUCUGCUAGGGCUCCAAUAUUCAGCCGUGCCGCCGUUCCAAGACCCUCCAAACCUCGCCUAAUCGUCGACUGUGACGGUGGACCAAGAUCCGA
rnacentral:lncRNA from 1 species